GAUGAACGCUAGCUACAGGCUUAACACAUGCAAGUCGAGGGGUAACGAGAGGGAAGCUUGCUUUCCUUGUCGACGACCGGCGCACGGGUGAGUAACGCGUAUCCACCCUGCCCCCAACUAGGGAAUAACCUUGCGAAAGUAAGACUAAUACCCUAUCAUUUCCUCAGAUGUCAUCGCACGACGAAUAAAGCUUUCUCGGUUGUGGAUGGGGAUGCGUCUGAUUAGCUUGUUGGCGGGGUAACGGCACACCAAGGCAACGACCAGUGGGGGUUCGGAGAGGAAGGUCCACCACAGUGGAAAUGAGACACGGUCCAAAAUCGUACGGGAGGGAGCAGUGAGGAAUAUUAGUCAAUGGGCGGAAGCCUGAACCAGGCAAGGAGCGUGCAGGAUGACGGCCCUAUGGGUUGUAAACUGCUUUUAUACAGAACAAAAGUUAGCCACGUGUGGUUAUUUGUAGGUACUGUAUGAAUAAGGACCGGCUAAUUCCGUGCCAGCCGCCGCAGUAA
rnacentral:rRNA from 1 species